AUGUGUGUACUAUCGCCAUGGUGGGGUGAGGAAGUUAUCCUGUGCUUGUAUGUCGAUGACAUACUGAUUUUCGGAACAAAUCUGAAAGUUAUUAAGCAGGUCAAGGAUUUCCUAUCUCGUUGUUUUGAGAUGAAGGAUUUAGGAGUGGCUGAUGUCAUUCUGAACAUCAAGUUGUUGAGAGACGAUGAUGGUGGGAUUACUUUGCUUCAAUCUCACUAUGUGGAAAAGAUCUUGAGUCGCUUUGGCUAUAGUGACUGCAAGCCCUCUCCAACACCAUAUGAUGCUACCAGUGCUACAAGACCUGACAUCUCUUUUGCUGUUAGCAAACUGAGUCGGUUUGUUUCAAAACCAGGAGAUGUGCAUUGGAAAGCUCUAGAAAGAGUUUUGCGUUAUUUGAAAGGCACUGCAAAUUAUGGAAUUCACUACACCGGGCAUCCAAAGGUGCUUGAAGGGUAUAGUGACUCAAACUGGAUCUCAGAUGCUGAUGAGAUAAAGGCCACGAGCGGUUAUGUAUUCACUCAUGGAGGUGGCGCUGUUUCUUGGAAGUCUUGCAAGCAGACCAUCUUAACGAGGUCAACAAUGGAAGCAGAACUCACAGCACUAGAUACAGCUACGGUCGAAGAAGAUUGGCUUCGUCGGCUCUUGAAUGACUUACCGGUUGUUGAGAAACCUGUACCGGGUAUCCUUAUGAACUGCGACAAUCAAACUGUGAUCACAAAGUGA
rnacentral:rRNA from 1 species